GGAAAACGCCGCCUGCGCCGCGUA
rnacentral:sRNA from 1 species